GAUGAACGCUAGCUACAGGCUUAACACAUGCAAGUCGAGGGGAAACGACAUCGAAAGCUUGCUUUUGAUGGGCGUCGACCGGCGCACGGGUGAGUAACGCGUAUCCAACCUGCCCACCACUUGGGGAUAACCUUGCGAAAGUAAGACUAAUACCCAAUGACGUCUCGAGAAGACAUCUGAAAGAGAUUAAAGAUUUAUCGGUGAUGGAUGGGGAUGGGUCUGAUUAGCUUGUUGGCGGGGUAAUGGCCCACCAAGGGCACGAUCAGUAGGGGUUCUGAGAGGAAGGUCCCCCACAUUGGAACUGAGACACGGUCCAAACUCCUACGGGAGGCAGCAGUGAGGAAUAUUGGUCAAUGGGCGAGAGCCUGAACCAGCCAAGUAGCGUGCAGGAUGACGGCCCUAUGGGUUGUAAACUGCUUUUAUAAGGGAAUAAAGUGAGUCUCGUGAGACUUUUUGCAUGUACCUUAUGAAUAAGGACCGGCUAAUUCCGUGCCAGCAGCCGCAGUAA
rnacentral:rRNA from 1 species